GAUAGGUACAGUUAUAGGGUGAGGGGUCCUGUAAUAGAGCAGUUAAAGGGUGAGGGGUCUGGUAAUAGACCAGUGAUAGGUACAGUUAUAGGGUGAGGGGUCCUGUAAUAGACCAGCGAUAGGUACAGUUAUAGGGUGAGGGUCCUGUAAUAGAGCAGUGAUAGGUACAGUCAUAGGGUGAGGGGUCCUGUAAUAGAGCAGCGAUUGGUACAGUUAUAGGGUGAGGGGUCCUGUAAUAGACUAGUUAUAGGGUGAGGGGUCCUGUAAUAGACCAGUGAUAGGUACAGUUAUAGGGUGAGGGGUCCUGUAAUAGACCAGCGAUAGGUACAGUUAUAGGGUGAGUGGUCCUGUAAUAGACCAGUGAUAGGUACAGUUAUAGGGUGAGGGGUCCUGUAAUAGAGCAGUGAUAGGUACAGUUAUAGGGUGAGGGGUCCUGUAAUAGAGCAGCGAUAGGUACAGUUAUAGGGUGAGGGGUCCUGUAAUAGAGCAGCGAUAGGUACAGUUAUAGGGUGAGGGGUCCUGUAAUAGAGCAGUGAUAGGUACAGUUAUAGGGUGAGGGGUCCUGUAAUAGACCAGCGAUAGGUACAGUUAUAGGGUGAGGGGUCCUGUAAUAGACCAGUGAUAGGUACAGUUAUAGGGUGAGGGGUCCUGUAAUAGAGCAGUGAUAGGUACAGUUUUAGGGUGAGGGGUCCUGUAUGAGAGCAGUGAUAGGUACAGUUAUAGGGUGAGGGGUCCUGUAAUAGAGCAGUGAUAGGUACAGUUAUAGGGUGAGGGGUCCUGUAAUAGACCAGUGAUAGCUACAGUUAUAGGGUGAGGGAUCCUGUAAUAUAGCAGUGUUAGGUACAGGUAUAGGGUGAGGGGUCCUGUAAUAGACCAGUGAUAGGUACAGUUAUAGGGUGAGGGGUUCUGUAAUAGAGCAGCGAUAGGUACAGUUAUAGGGUGAGGGGUCCUGUAAUAGAGCAGUGAUAGGUACAGUUAUAGG
rnacentral:lncRNA from 1 species